GACAGAGGCCUCAAGCGUUAGGCGGAAUCACUGGGCUUAAAGCGUGUGUAGGCGGAUCGUUAAGUGUCUUGUGAAAUCCCACGGCUCACCCGUGGAACUGCUGGGCAUACUGGCGAUCUUGGGCCAACUAGGGGCAACUGGAACAAGCGGUGGAGCGGUGAAAUGCGUAGAUAAUCGCUUGGAACGCCAAAGGGUGAAAACAGGUUGCUGGGGUUGUGC
rnacentral:rRNA from 1 species